rnacentral:rRNA from 1 species
AUUGAACGCUGGCGGCAUGCCUUACACAUGCAAGUCGAACGGCAGCACGGGAGCAAUCCUGGUGGCGAGUGGCGAACGGGUGAGUAAUAUAUCGGAACGUGCCCGGUCGUGGGGGAUAACGUAGCGAAAGCUACGCUAAUACCGCAUACGAUCUACGGAUGAAAGCGGGGGAUCGCAAGACCUCGCGCGAUUGGAGCGGCCGAUAUCAGAUUAGGUAGUUGGUGAGGUAAAGGCUCACCAAGCCGACGAUCUGUAGCUGGUCUGAGAGGACGACCAGCCACACUGGGACUGAGACACGGCCCAGACUCCUACGGGAGGCAGCAGUGGGGAAUUUUGGACAAUGGACGCAAGUCUGAUCCAGCCAUUCCGCGUGCAGGAUGAAGGCCCUCGGGUUGUAAACUGCUUUGUACGGAACGAAAAGGUUUGUCUUAAUACGAUGAGCUCAUGACGGUACCGUAAGAAUAAGCACCGGCUAACU